rnacentral:rRNA from 1 species
CUGCGGUCGAUCCCAAGUGCUUUGAGUUUAUCUAGAGCGACCUAAUCCCCGGGCGUCAACCUAACAAGCUGUCGCGCACGACUGAGUAGCACGUAAUCCACAUCCUCAGCGGAUGUGCAUAGCCUCGGGCAGCGGCGACCAAAGCAUGAUAUGUGAUCAGCUCCGGAAGCUUUCAUGACUAAAAUUUGUAUGCACUCUGGCAAGCACCGCGCCCCAUCAGUGGUCUGCAGAGGAUAAGCCGCUCCAACCCUGUAACCGGUACUGCCUCUGAGAUGAGGAGCCUGGAGAUUGGCAAUUAUACAAGGCCCCAGAUCUUAUGAGCAGCAGCAGGCGCGAAACCUCUGCAAUAGGCGAAAGCCAUACAGGGGUACUAAUAGUGACUUCCGACCACUAAAGUCUUUGGGAUCCUCGAAAAAGGGUGCAGACAUAAGGGGUGCACACGUUUGUGCGUCAGCCUCUGAGAUAAUCCCAACGCCUUUAGUGGUGAAAGUGACUCUGAGUCAUCAAGCCUCGCUAUCCGGUUUUGCAGAGGUUUCGGUCAAACUCCGCUCCAUAGAGCAUGGGCCCUGGUGUCAGCUACAGAUGUUCGGAGUCAUCAUAUCAGAGCCCUUUCCAGUGGGCAGGUGUAAAAUCCCAUUAUCCAUCCAACACCAUCAUCGGCGACGGUGCCAUCCCGGAACCCUCUAGAUGUUGAUCGAGGAACGUUGCGGGAGCAAUCCCGAUUAGCUACCCGGGUACUGCCACCUGUGAUCAUCCCAGUCUUGGUGACGAGUUGGCUUCUUGCCAACUACACCGCGCCACAGAAACCGUUAAGUUACUCGCCAUGGGGAGUAUCGCUACCAAGAUCGCAAUCUGAAUCCAAUGGGCUCAGCCGCAC